AAGGAAUUACCAACAGCAUAAACAUGAUGACCAAGAUCAAAACCACUGUGAUCAACUUACCCAGCCCUUCUUAUACAAUGGGCUAGUGAUAGUAUUGUUAUGUGUAUGGUGAAAAAAAAGAACUCUUUCCACAGUUUGUUCCAUAAAACAGCAUGAGUUUAGUGUUGAAUUUUCUUUUGCAGCUGGGAAUCAGAGAGAUAAAUAAUGUUUGUGAUAGAUCUGUCACAUAGCUACUUUAUGUGUCCAAUUAUUGUACUAAUAUUUAGCAUCAUAUUGAUAUAAAUUUUAUCUUGUUCCUUGUUAAUAAUCUAGGAAUAUGGUUCUGUUCAUGUUGAAUGUCAAAAAAUGAAGAGGAAAAAUAAAAAUAUUGUGGCUUCUCUGUUUGCAAUCCCUCCUCAAACAAUUGUAACUUUCCAUUCUAACACAUUGUCCUCCUCAAACAUUAGUAUAACUAGCCCAUUAUCAAUGCUCCAUCCAGCAUUUAAAGUUGAAUGUAACCAAUUUUUUUCUUUCUAAUUAACUUCGAAAAAAUAUUGAGAAAAUUAUGGUUGGACAUCUUAAUGUCUUGAAUGAAAACAUUUAACUUAAUUGAAUCCAUCGUGUAAAUCAAUGAAGAUUAUAUGUUCCAAACUGUAUUCUUAUCUAAUAAAAUUGUGAUACUUAUUAAAAAAAUUAAGCAGUAUCAAAUAUAAUUAGAAUAAUUUGUUAUUUUUUAAUAUGUGUCACAAUUUUAUUAGAUAUUAAAUAGAAUAUGAUUGGAGACACAUUUUGAGACAUAUCAUUUUUAUACUUGAGUAAAUAUGCAGUUUCUUGGCCAUCAGUGCUGAUUAAAUACAUUAAUUAAGUGCUUAUUUUAAAUAAAAAACUUAUUUCCAUAAAAAAUUCUCAAAAACUAGUAUUAAAAAUAAAUCAAUGUUUUUUUACAAAAAUACCAUUAUAUAUUUCCAUCACCUUAUUUUUAUAAUUUAUUGUUAUAAACAGAACUAACUUUCCAUGAUAAGAUUUUCCAAAAAUCUCUGAAGUAAAAUCUUUUUGAUUUAUCUAAAGAUUUAAUAUUGCACCAAUAGAUCAACAUGGCAAUAUCUGGUAGUAUGUGUCAUUCCAUACAACAUUGUAUUUGAUAUAUAAAAAAAUAAAGUCAUUGAUUUUUCAUAUUCAAUUAAUUUUUAAAAUUACACUUAAGCAAUAAAUAUAAAAGGAAUAACAAAACACAAUCCUUUAUUCCUUCCUCGGAGCAAAUGGAAGUAAAACACAAUCCAAUCAUGCUUAAUGAACUUCUUAAUCUGAUUAAUAAUUGAGACAUAAUAGUAAAAUGCAAAUGCUCUUUCAUCAAAAACUUAUAUCUAACUUUGAAUAGGUGAAAAGCUCUAUAUAACGAAAUAAAUGAAAAGCUCUAAGCAAUGCAUAAUUUGUUUCAAAUAUCCCUUUUCUCUGUUCAUUUUCGAAUUGAAGAAGAAAAGUUGAAUGCAGUAAUUUGAAAGAGUAAGAUAUUUUAAUGAGAAAGUGUAGAGUGGGUGGUGUAUUGGUGGAGUAAGACUCCUCUCAAGUAAUGGAGAGGUAAGUGACUUUUUCUUUUCUAUUUUAAGGGUAGAAAUAUAAUAUCAUUACACAUAAAAGAAAUAUAAGUGUCAAUAUAUGUUACCUUCUGUUAACUUUUACACACCACUUACAUCUCCAUCAAUGGAGAGGAGUCUCACUCGCAUUGGUGACUCAGUCCCAUCAUAAUUCACGAGUACUUAACUGACACAUAGGUCCUUUCCAUAAAUACCAUCAUAUCACUUUUCCAAUACAAACCAUAGGGACCACUUUUACAUUCACAUCAUUACUCGGAUAAGGAUCUGUUAUCCCAAACUCUAUUUCAGACUAAUCAUAUUAUGUCACGUCAGAUUAAAAAAAUUAAAUAUUUAUAACUUUAUCAGUUUUGUUUUAUUAUGAUUGACCAAAAACGUAGUUGAGGACAUGGUUGGAGAUAACAAAUCCCCAUCCCAUUACCCCACCAUUUCUCUCCUCUUUUUUUUGAAAACGUGAUAAUUCUUUUUUUAUAUAAAUAGAAAGAUUUGUAGGUAGAUAUAGUAUGAGGAUAUAUCAUUUUUUAUAUAAUUUGAAUUGAGAUAUCUUAUAUUUGAAUUUUUUCUAUUGAAUGAAAAAACGUAUAAGCCGAAUCACUUUUUUAACAUUCAAAAUAUAUGAAAAUCAUGUUCUAAUCAUGAAAACGUGAUUUUUGUGGCUGCAAACCCAGAUCCAAAGAUGCACUAUGUUUUAUUUACUCCAUUCAACACAUUAAUUAUUACAAAGCUAUAUCAUUAAUUAUCACUGCUGAAAUCACAUGAGUGGGAGUUCAAAUCACUUUGUUGAUAAAUGAAUUUUGUUGGUUCUUCUAUAUAUUUAUAAAACUAUCACAUGCCAGAACAAUGAACAACUUAUUAUUCCAUUAAAACUUUAAAAUCAUACAUUAAAAACGUAUAAAUCACCUUAAAGGAUUCUCAAAUUUAAACCUAUAAAAUCAAAGUUUGUCUAAAAAAAAUAUUUAAUCAAGAAGGGUUACAAAUAACUUUAGGUCAAAUAUUGACUUCCUAUACUUUGACUUAAUCUAUUGUCCACAACAUAUACUUCAUUUUUACAUUACUUUAUGACUUAUAUAUGUUGUUUUGCCUUUUGUGUAUGAUCAAUAUACUUUGACUUAGUGUAAUAUUUUGUUUUUACUUUUUAUAAAAUAUUUAGAGGUUGCAUUGUCAUUUUUUAUAGGGUUAUUUUCAAAAUUUUAUAGAUGUUAAUUAUUAUUAUCAAGAUAUUCUUAGAUUAAUCGAUUCAGAAAAGAAAACCAUGAGUAAAUUGAGUGGACAGAGACAGAGAAGAGAGAAAGAGAUCUCCUAAAUGGAUGACAAUUUUGAAAAUACUUUGACAAAGUUGAAAUUUCUGAUAGACAAAGAUGAAAUCAUUAUAUCAAAAAGUUAAAAAAACUUCAUCCAAAGGAAAAACAUACGUGCAUAAGAUUUUUUUAUAUUAUAAUUGCGUUAUUUAUUAUUUAUUUUUAAUCAUUGACUCUUAGAAGAAAGUAAUACAAAUGAGUGUGGAUAAUACAUUCAGUGUAUAUAAUAUUUUAUAUUAUACUAUCAUACUAAACUCUUAUAAUUAAAAAAAUGAAUUCCUUAAAAUAAUAAAAUUAUUUUGAAUGAAUGUUUUUUGGACUAAUAUUUUUAGCAGGGCCAGCAUAAACAUGAUGACCAAGAUCAAAACCACUGUGAUCAACUUACCCAGCCCUUCUUAUACAAUGGGCUAGUGAUAGUAUUGUUAUGUGUAUGGUGAAAAAAAAGAACUCUUUCCACAGUUUGUUCCAUAAAACAGCAUGAGUUUAGUGUUGAAUUUUCUUUUGCAGCUGGGAAUCAGAGAGAUAAAUAAUGUUUGUGAUAGAUCUGUCACAUAGCUACUUUAUGUGUCCAAUUAUUGUACUAAUAUUUAGCAUCAUAUUGAUAUAAAUUUUAUCUUGUUCCUUGUUAAUAAUCUAGGAAUAUGGUUCUGUUCAUGUUGAAUGUCAAAAAAUGAAGAGGAAAAAUAAAAAUAUUGUGGCUUCUCUGUUUGCAAUCCCUCCUCAAACAAUUGUAACUUUCCAUUCUAACACAUUGUCCUCCUCAAACAUUAGUAUAACUAGCCC
rnacentral:lncRNA from 1 species